CUAAAAUGGCUGCCAACAUGUACGAGUUGCGCUUGGCACCUGAUAAAAAGUUUUCAGCCCAAGCUGCCCGAGAGUGCUUGAAAGAUGUCUUGAUGACCGAGUUUGACGACAAAAUUUACGAUUCCAGUCAGAUAGCAAAGUGGACGAAAGAAACCUCGCAAAGGAUAUGCGAAAGACUACAAGAAUUGGGUUUCGAAAGAUACAAGUACGUGGUGCAAGUAGUCAUCAGCGAACAGCGCGGUGAAGGAGCAAGGAUGGCUUGCCGCUGCCUUUGGGAUUCCGACACUGACGUCUGUGUUUCAGAGUUCUAUAAUGGAGACAGCUUGUUCUGUGCUGCUGUUGUCCUUGCCUCAUAUUACUACUAGACUUGGCCAGAGGGCUUCAUCAAGAUACCUUUCCUGCAUAGGCCCUACUUGACAGGCAUCAUGCCACGGCAGGAUGGAGCGGCACAGUAUUGGGAAAAUAGGAUAAAUGCUCAUGCGCUGCCAAGAACAGAGCUAGCUGUGGCUUCUAACAUCUGUUGUGCCUUCACUGGGGACAACCAAGAUGCUAUUGAGAAUAUUCUUUAGCCUUCAUCACGUGGCAUUAACCAGGUUUCAACUCAAGAUUCUCGCUGGCCUCAUGGUGUCUGAAAGGGUCUCGCCAGUUUCAAAGCUCUAGCAUACCUCACCAAGUGUAAUCCAUCUCCUGUCAUCAGUUAAGAAAAAAAAAUAAUUGCACUACAGUACGAAAACAGGAUUUGAUUUCUCACCAGGCACUACCUUACUCACCUGGUACCUACUACUAGGUGAGUGUCAGCAUGAUAGAUGAAGUACUGCUGCUUGUGAAACACUUAGUGCAUUUCAGAAAAAGUGAGGCAUGUGUCAGUGUCGAUAAUGAAGAAGCAAGAAAGAAGGGAUAAUCGUGACCAAAGGAGGAAGAAAUGGUUCUGCAUAGACAUGUUAUUGCAGUUUCUUGUGAUAGGUUUGAGGAAAAACUGAUGGCUGGAUGCUUGUUUUCUGAGCAUUUGGUUGUGCAGGUUUGCAUAUAACGGAAAUUUCAUUUUAACAAUCUCUAAGCUUGAGUGAAUAUUUGGUCUACCUUGUGUUUGUACAUCACAGAGACAAAUGCACGCAUGUUAUGUCUUGCACUUAAGCCCCACACUGACACCCUAGCCACUACUGCAGUGUGGGCUCUUGCUUGACAUGUUUACCAGCAAAGCAUACUGUCUCUGCAUAAAUGAUUCUUCAACAUUAUCACACCAGGAGGAGUAUUCUGUAAGUGUCCAGCUAGUGGACAUGUCCAUUUUGUCUGCUGCUGAAGUGCUGAUUGGCUGGGUGCACCAGUCUCCUUUUCAUGUGUACCCCAGCACAGCCAAUCAGAACUGCAGCAGCAGACAAAAUAGACCUGACCACUGGGUAGACGUUUAUACAAUACUCCUUCAGGUUGUUCACCAAACUGUGAUAUGCAGUCCAGCAGGAUCGACUGCAGUAGCCAUUGAACGACCUGUGCUUUGUUUCUUACAAUAUCGCUUUUGUGAGCAUACCAUCCAUUGUAACACGCAGUCUUCCUUUUCAUACACUUCAUCGAGCUUGUCUGUCAUAACACAUCUGUGGUCUGGGCAUAUGUGUCAAUGCAGAAGAGGAAGGUGAUGAAAGCAGUUAGAUAGUCUCUCCUAAUAAAAAAAAGACAGCAAUGAGAGUUGAUGCUAUUCAAAGUAUUCCAUGCUUACACCUACUUUUAGAUAUGAAACUGGUCUUUUUUUCUUUCAGUACAGGCUGUGUACUCUUCAGUAAAUUACAUAUGCUGGGCUAAAGAGAAGCAACCUACAAAUUUUCAUUUCUUUCUCUUAUUUAGACAUUUACAUGGGCCAACACUCAGAAUGAAUCAUAAUGUGUAAUCUGUCCAUGCAGCAGAAAUAAUUUAUGAAAGAAUUUUUUAAAAAUUGGGUUUGGGACAUCUCAAACUGUCCAACAGAUGAUAGCUGACGAUAGAAACAGACGAUUACUGUUGAGGUCAAAAGGCAGGUGAGAAAAUCGAAUGACAUGCACAAAAUUAGUUGCAGUAAUGUACAAAAAGCACAGAACUUAUGGACUGUGACUUAGAGGGCAAUGGGAAAUGCACCACCAGAUGUCACCAUGCUUGAGCUCGUUUGGUUAAAGCUACAUUUGUCACCUUGGCAUGUUGUGUUCUGGAUGAUUGUCUUCUGGAAACAUAAAUAGUAGUUAAAUAAUAAGGUAAGCUUAAAAAUAAUGCGUUUGGGAAUCCUACAUUUUGCUGCCAAAGCGCCAUUUUACUUUCAAUAAAUGUUCAUUGAUUCACUGA